AUGUUGUCUGUAGCUCUUCUGCUGCUUCUGGCAGCUGGAUCCUGUGUGAAGUCUGAGACACUGACACAGCCAGCCUCUGUGACUGUGCAGCCAGGACACACUCUCACCAUCUCCUGUACUGUCUCAUACUCUGUGAGCAGCUACAACACACACUGGAUCAGACAGCCUGCUGGGAAAGGCCUGGAGUGGAUUGGAUACAAACGCACUGGAGGCUUUAAUAUCAAAGAGUCACUGAAGAACAAAUUCAGUAUUGAUUUAGACAGUUCCACAAAAACAUUGAAUCUGAAUGGACAGAACAUGCAGCCUGGGGACACUGCAGUGUACUACUGUGCUCGGGAGCCACAGUCACACAAAGUAUAUCUAGAGCUACAGGCUGCUGGAAAAGGCCUGGAGUGGAUUUCUUACAUUAGCGAUGGCAGUGCAACCAAGCUCUACUCUGAUUCAGUGAAAAACCGCUUCACCGUGUCCCGAGAUAACAGCAGAAAAGAGGUGUAUCUGCACAUGAGCAGCCUCAGAGCGGACGACACUGCGCGGUAUUAUUGUGCUAGAGACACAGUGAGACGGGCAGUGGCAGAGCUGUACAAGAACUACUUCCUCAAUAGUUUUAGGAGUUUCACUUACAUCACUUAA